UACGAAGGGGGCUAGCGUUGCUCGGAAUCACUGGGCGUAAAGGGUGCGUAGGCGGGUCUUUAAGUCAGGGGUGAAAUCCUGGAGCUUAACUCCAGAACUGCCUUUGAUACUGAUGAGCUUGAGUCCGGGAGAGGUGAGUGGAACUGCGAGUGUAGAGGUGAAAUUCGUAGAUAUUCGCAAGAACACCAGUGGCGAAGGCGGCUCACUGGCCCGGUACUGACGCUGAGGUGCGAAAGCGUGGGGAGCAAACAGG
rnacentral:rRNA from 1 species